rnacentral:lncRNA from 1 species
UGUUUACUUUAUUAGAUUGCAACACAAUACUUUUUUCUUUUCAGAAAGAUGGUGGAGAAUAUUAAAUAUAUGAGUCUACAAUAUGCUAAGGAAGUCUCUCUGCUGAACUUAGAUCUAAUGAAUUUAUUGGAAGUUUAGAGAGGUGUGUAUGCUAUGCAUGUGGUGAGACAACUACCAGUAAUAUUUGAGCAGGCUACAUAGAAACUUAUUUUUUGUUUAGAGAAUUUAACAAAUGAAUAUCGUAAUAUCUUCGUUCUGAUUUUCCGAUACAAAAGAAUUGAUAAUUGAUAGCAUGAUGAUUUGUUUACGGAUUCCCCAUCAUUUAUCUAAUAAAUGAAAAGUUCCACCCACUGAAACUAUAUUAGAAUACAAAAAUUUAAUUUGUUGAUUUGUUUGAUUUCUAAUUCUUAGUUUUCUUCUGGUUUUCAGCUACAUGUAUUAUGCCUGGAAUCAAAGGAUAACGCGAGUCCUAUUUCAGGUGGGUACGUUAGAUGAUAGCCAAAAAAAAAACUCAGAAAUGAUGUUGUUUUUAUUUGCUACUCUUGAAAAAGAUGAUGAAAAUUGUCACCUUAGUAACUGAUCUGGAAGGAAAUAAAAAAAAUAUUGCUAUACAAUACUUUAACCAAUGUAUUUAAUAUUUUCAAUUAAAUUCCCCCAUUUAGCGCCAAAAACGUGUGUCGCAUUUCUGAAGACGUUUAUCAUCUACAUUUAUGUUUUACUUAAGUGAGUAAAAGAUUUUUAUUUUAUACUUGUACAACUGAUAUUUUUAUGAUGAAACAAUUACCCAGCUCGCUUCGAUAUUCCAUGAAGAGAACUGUUCCAAAUCCAACCAAAUUAUACUGCUGAUAUAAGGCUUUAACAAAUUAGUUUUUUGUUCAAUGUUUACUUUAUUAGAUUGCAACACAAUACUUUUUUCUUUUCAGAAAGAUGGUGGAGAAUAUUAAAUAUAUGAGUCUACAAUAUGCUAAGGAAGUCUCUCUGCUGAACUUAGAUCUAAUGAAUUUAUUGGAAGUUUAGAGAGGUGUGGUGCUAUGGUGUGGUGAGACAACUACCAGUAAUAACACUACUCGACAAAAUCCAACCUUUUUUCCGCUUCGAGCCAAACUGACUUUUUGAUAGACUGACUAGGCUUUACAUUUUUGAAAAUUAUUAUUUUUUUUUCAGAAACAGAAAUACUCUGGCAGUUUGUCGCACAACUCCACUCCAACAGGUACCCGAAACAAUUAAAAGAAAGAGUAUUUUGAUGAUAUAUAUAUAGUAUAUAGUAGUAAUGAUAGUAGAUUGGUAAUCUGAUAGAUACGGGCAUUCCCUACGGAAUGGCGUUUUUAGUUUUCUUUUAUCUUCAAAACUGUAGGUUUGGGAGGUUUUCGCUUCAGUGAGCAAUAAAGCAGCCUGGAUGAAAAAUUUGGUGGCUCUAGCUCUUAUAGUCUCUGAGAACUAGCCGACAAACAAGACGGACAGACAGGCAUGGCACUAUUGAUGUUGAUCAAGAAUAUAUAUACUUGAUGGGGUCGGAAACGUUUCCUUCUGUGCGUUACAUACAACCGUUAUUCGCACAAAUACAAUAUACCCUAUUUACUCUUCGAGUACCGGGUAUAAAAACAAAUAUAAGCGGCGGGACGGGGUGGGUUAAAAGUCGGCAGAGGCAGAAGCCAAGUGAAGCAGAAGCAGUGUGAAUGAGAGAACGUGAAAAGAACAACAAAAGCUGCGGGACAGGGUGGGUUUAGCCACUGGAAAAUAAUUUCUCCAUUGUGGCUAUAAUAAUGAUCCAAUCGGAUCCCAAUUUGGUAAUCUGAUAGAUACGGGCAUUCCCUACGGAAUCGCGUUUUUAGUUUUCUUUUAUCUUCAAAACUGUAGGUUUGGGAGGUUUCCGCACUUUUGUGGAGACGGAAGGGGGCGGUGUCAGUGUGAGCAUAUAGCAGUCUGGAUGCAAAAUUUGGUGGCUCUAGCUUUAAUAGUCUAUGAGAACCAGGCGCGCAAAAGACGGACGGACAGACAGAAACGACGCCCAAUUAAUGCACCUCUACAUGAAUGCAAAAUAGAGAUCACAGGAUUUAUUUUCUUUUGGACUUAUCCCGACUUUUUAAAAAAUCGGCAUUUUUACAUUUUAAAGCUUAACAUUUUUCAAACGCUAAACUAGACCACAAUGUGUUUGGACAUACAUUAUAUAUGCAUAUUUCAGCUUUAUAGAAUGGCUUAGUUCAUUACAAUCAGAUCUAAGAUACUCAAGUUGUGUAAAACAGCGCUACCUCUAAAAAAGAGCGUUAAAGAAAAUACUAGAUUUAAACAUUUUUUUAAAAAAGUUCUGACUGAAAAAAAAAUUAUCAUCAAACCAUUUCUAAACCCCAUAACUUUUAGAAAAAGUUGGUCUGGAUCGAAGCGUCAAAAUCGUGUCGAGUAGUGUUUUUGCAAGCAAAAAACUGGGUACGAACAAGUUUAAAUAUAAACCUAUUCUUUAUAACAUUCAGUUUUUACCAAUUGUAUUAACUGUAUCAUAUAUUAACUGUAAAUAAAAAUAAUAUAUAAAAACACCUAUUCAAAACAAAAUAGUUUGGAAGUUUCAAUAUUAUAUUUUUGAAAAUCCCGACGAAUUUUUUUAACACGUGGAGGGACGUGUGACCCGCUUAGUACGUGUCACAGCUUUUAUACCCGGUUCUCAGUCAGUACAUACUUAUGUAAAUACAUUCAUAUGUAGUGUAUGUAUGAUACAUACAGCUCACUUCCAGUCUUUCAAAUUAAACAAGUGAUACCUCUUUAAAAAGACUGGAGUGGAAGCAACACAAAUCAGAAGAAACCCCAAGUAGUGAUGGGUGAAAAUAUUUUCUAAAAAUUAAAAAACCAAACAAAAUUAUCUAAAACGAGAAGGAACGUUUAAGACGCUUCUUACGCUUCACAACUUUUAUACCCGGUAUAUCAGUAAACUACAUCUGUACCUUAGCGGGUUUUUUUUUUAAUUUGUAUGCAUGGGGGGGGGGUCAUUUUCGAAAUACCCUUGUAACAGUGUGAGCAUGUCUGGAUGCAAAAUAUGGUGGCUCUAGCUUUAAUAGUCUCCGAGAUCCAGGCGCUUAACAAGACGGACGGACAGACAGACAUGUCUCAAUCGAUUCGUCUAUUGGUGCUGAUCAAGAAUAUAUGUACUAUAUGGGGUCGGAAACGUUUCCUUCUCUGCGUUACAUACAUUCGUGAUUUCGCACAAAUACAAUAUACCCUAUUUACUCUUCAAGUGCCGGGUAUAAAAAUCUCCAACAGAAAACUUAAUUUAUAUUCAAUAUAUGUAUAAAAGAAAAGUUUGGACAUAGCGGUAUUUUUAUUUUUGGAGCUUUAAAGAUACCAUAAAACUAAUAUCAGGAGGUAUAAUGCAAUGAAAAACUAAGGUCUUAGUGCUCUUACUAUUGUAUUUAACCUAUUUAGCUUGAAGAAGACCCUGAAAAUAGAUUUUGAUUGAGAAAAACAUUUAUUUUGGAGGAGGGUCGAAGAUGGUUGAAAUCAAAGACUUUGAUAUCCUCAAAAGUUGUGAGGACUGUGUCAGUGAUAUAAUAGUUAACAGACAACUGAUAGCACAUUAUUUAGUUGCAAGAGGUCCCAGAAAGCAACGCGUUUAGAAAAUAUAUGGCAUGGGUACACGACUUAAGUUUUGGAGACACAUUUGGAGUGAUGUGUGUAAAGUUCUAUUAUAUUAUAUUUAUUAUAACGAAUUAUAAC